UCACUAUGGGGGGGCUGCUUGCGAGUUAAAUCCCUGCCCGCCCGCGUGGCAGGCGAGCAUUCUACCACUGAACCACCG